rnacentral:rRNA from 1 species
GUUUGGUUAAGUUAGAAAGGGCGCACGGUGGAUGCCUUGACACUAGGAGUCGAUGAAGGACGGGACUAACGCCGAUAUGCUUCGGGGAGCUGUAAGUAAGCUUUGAUCCGAAGAUUUCCGAAUGGGGAAACCCACUAUACGUAAUGGUAUGGUAUCCUUACCUGAAUACAUAGGGUAUGGAAGACAGACCCAGGGAACUGAAACAUCUAAGUACCUGGAGGAAGAGAAAGCAAAUGCGAUUUCCUGAGUAGCGGCGAGCGAAACGGAAUCUAGCCCAAACCAAGAGGCUUGCCUCUUGGGGUUGUAGGACAUUCUAUACGGAGUUACAAAGGAACGAGGUAGACGAAGCGACCUGGAAAGGUCCGUCACAGAGGGUAACAACCCCGUAGUCGAAACUUCGUUCUCUCUUGAAUGUAUCCUGAGUACGGCGGA